GACGAACGCUGGCGGCGUGCUUAACACAUGCAAGUCGAACGGUAAGGCCCUUCGGGGUACACGAGUGGCGAACGGGUGAGUAACACGUGGGUGAUCUGCCCUGCACUUCGGGAUAAGCCUGGGAAACUGGGUCUAAUACCGGAUAGGACCCUGGGAUGCAUGUCCUGGGGUGGAAAGCUUUUGCGGUUUGGGAUGGGCCCGCGGCCUAUCAGCUUGUUGGUGGGGUGAUGGCCUACCAAGGCGACGACUGGUAGCCGGCCUGAGAGGGUGACCGGCCACACUGGGACGUAGAUACGGCACAGACUGGUACGGGAGGCAGAAGGGGGGAAUAUUGCACAAUGGGCGCAAGCCGGAUGCAGCGACGCCGAGUGAGGGAGGACGGCCUUCGGGUUGUAAACCUCUUUCAGCACCGACGAAGCGCAAGUGACGGUAGGUGCAGAAGAAGGACCGGCCAACUACGUGCCAGCCGCCGCCGUAA
rnacentral:rRNA from 1 species